GCUGGGUGUGGUGGUGUGCACCUGUAGUCUCAGCUACUGGGGAGGCUGAGGUGGGAGGACUGCUUGAGCCCAGGAGUUCUGGGUUACAGUGAACUAUGAUCAUGCCACUGUACUCCAGCCUGGGUGACAGAGCAAUACCUUGUCUCAA
rnacentral:SRP_RNA from 1 species